GUAGUACUCCCUCCGUUCUGAAUUACUUGUCUUGGAUUUGUCUAGAUACAGAAGUAUCUAGCACUAAAAUGAGUCUAAAUACAUCCGUAUCUAGACAAAUCCAAGACAAGUAAUUCAGAACGGAGGGAGUAUGUA
rnacentral:pre_miRNA from 1 species